GGAGGUUCUGAUCAGCAAAUAAGGAAGGAACAACAUCUGACAUCUUUACCCACUUUAACUGUGAGUAUAUGAAAUCUAGGCAACAAAAUAAAUAGAACAGAGACUGGAAGACGUGAUGCUUCCUGGGAGAACAUGUGCCCGUAAGGAUCGAUCUCAUGGGAUUCUUAGGAAAGUUCCCACAAUAAUCUCAUCAUGAGGCUCACUCGUUCUCACCUCCAGAGUUCUGGGGGGUAAAAUAAUACAUAAAUGCAAGGAUUAUCUUAUAUAUACACCAAGGGAAAGGAAAUACUGCCUAUUAAGAAUUAGCAGCUAACAGCUGGGCGCGGUGGCUCACACCUGUAAUCCCAGCACUUUGGGAGGCCAAGGCAGGCGGAUCACAAGAUCAGGAGUUCGAGACCAUGCUGGCUAACAAGCAUCAAGCAAAGAACUUGUAAUACGCUGAAUGCUGCAUAGAAGGUUUUGAAACUACUUACCUGCUGUGGAACACCUGUAUAACUUUAAAAUGCAUCAAUCAAUCUCGAGAGUAUGAUCAUGCUUCCUGCUUUUAAGGAUCUGAAGUUAACUGCAACUCCAAGUAUACAAGACUUCUUUGGGACCCAUGGAAGCAUCUCUACAUGCUCAUGUUUGCCAGAUUCAGUGGCCUCCUGAAACCUGGCCCUAGCUAAUAAGUUAAAAAGCUCUAAGUAAUCCCGAGCUGCAUUUGAAUCUCCAAGAUCACUUGUUCAUGGGUUGGUAAUACUUUAAAGAGCCAUUUGUUUAACUGCUAAUCUGGAUCUUAUAUUCUGAGCCCCAGCUUUUUUCUAAAGCAAAGAAAAUACAAAAUAAAAGUAAGACCAAAUGCCUUUGUACCAUGGAGAGAGAAAUGACUCAUUGGAAUGCUUCUGUUUUUCAUCACAUCAAAGAUGCAUCAACAUAAAUCAACCAUUAUAUCAUGCACCAUGAUAAAAAAGGGGGAUAAAAGUCCCCAAACCACUGCCAAUUAAACCAACACAGUGCCUUUGUAUUAUUCAGAAUUUUUAUCUUAGCCUUAUUGAAAGAGCUUUUUUAGAACAUAUUUAAACAAUUCUGUCAUAUUUCAUUCUUGCAUACUCAUUAAAAAGGAAAAUAUGAGAGAUACAAA